rnacentral:lncRNA from 1 species
GACGUUCGGGUUUAUACUUCAGAGGCUCUUCCCAUAUUCUUGGAUUGCGACCGAGACAAGUACGACUCAAUAGUAUGUGACUACCUUUUGGAAUAAAGUAUCCAGCUAUAGUUGUAUCUUCCAUUGAUAGAUGUGGAACGUUAAAAGGUGCUAUUGGAUGAAGUCUGAAUGCCUCUCUGGCACAUGCCUUCACAUAGUUCAGUUUGUUUAAAUCUGANGGAACGUUAAAAGGUGCUAUUGGAUGAAGUCUGAAUGCCUCUCUGGCACAUGCCUUCACAUAGUUCAGUUUGUUUAAAUCUGAUUCUUGAACUAGUCUGUUCUUUCCAACUACUAAGUCCAAUUCUGCUGAAGCCUUUUUCAAAAUCUCAGGUUGGUU